rnacentral:lncRNA from 1 species
UGAGGAUGAAAACCUAAUGAAACAAAUCAAAACAGAUGAAACAACCUCAGCCUACAGGCUAAAGAAUGCGCUCACUCACUCAAGUCAUAGUGAAGAUGUGGAACACAUCAUUUUGCUGGUACAGAGGCAGAUUCACAGAUGAGAAUGUCAGGGAUUCUGUCUCAGAGGCGCUCGUGUCCUUACAAGGGAGGUGUAAGGACUACCUUGUUUUUCAUCUGCCCAUCUUCUUCAUUUCAUAUUGGGAUUUCCCCUUCCCAGUUCACAUGCCAACUGGAAGGUUUGCGAGUCCAAAUCCCAGCACUCAUCUGGCAAAGGGGUGAAUGUUUGACUCAUAUUGGAAAAUUAGACUAUAGGAAAGUAAAUGAUGACCCCCUAAUCUGAAAAUGGCUAGAGCGGAUUAAUCCAGCUAGCAGCACUCUGAAGAUAGCUGCCCAUUUGUUCCUGCCAUCUGGCUGUUCAGCUUUCCUUCUUUCUGAGAGCUUCCUUGUGGCAGCUACUGUAGGUUGGUUCACUCAGCGCCCAUUCCAUUUCCCGUCAAGCCGUGCUUUCUCUGCUCUAGUAAGAGAAUUGCGGGCACCAGCCUGACACUGCUUAGUGACGUCAGGCAGGCACAAACUUCCCUUUGGGCUCCUUGCUGAAGAACUCCAUAGUGGUUUCUGUUACUUGUGGCCAAAUUUACC